rnacentral:lncRNA from 9 species
AUAUUUUAUGCAUGCAUGUGAUAACAUUUUACCUUUCUUAUGGAUGUGUAGGGAAGUCUCACUUUUCUCUGUGGAAGAUUAUUACCUACUCCGAGGGGGCUAUGAUUAUAGAUACUUACUAAGACAAGAAUAAUUGAUCAUAAAAAUCCUUUUAUAUUCCCACAAUUAUUUUUGCAUUGACUAAAAGUGUCAAGAAAAUCUGAUUUUAUUAGCCAGCUCCUAAUUUUGACUCCAUUUAAUUUUUUAUCUGGCUUUUUCCCCCAAUAUGUUUUUAGUCUGAGAGAGUUGGCAAUUGUACAAAAGAACAAUUUGUUACAGAACCUUUACUGAAUGGAAGUUCUAUAAUCCAAGCAUAACAUCAAGUAUCAAAUAAAAUAAAAAUGUAUGAGAUCAGCAAAGGGGACAUGCUCCAAGGUAAGGAACUGAUCUAGGGCCUAGGAAAAAAGAAGUUUAAAUCAAAAUUUGACUGCUCAGCUAUGAAGUAAGGCUGUGGAACAAAGGGUCAAAUGCAGCUUUGACCCUUCAUUCCCCUCCACCCUCCAAGAGAUCAGAUCCCGUCAGCACUGAGCCUAUUUCCCGUAAGAAGCAAGGAGCAGAAUUGUGCUUGAUAAGAAGCAGUGUGGACAACUCUAAAGGACACUGGAAGGGAAGAGGAAGGAAGUACAUUGGUUCUUCAGGAGGCGGGGGAUGCGGUGGACAGGAGAAGUAGCAGUGACAUGGUACCCUCUUGACUCUUGCAAACAAAAUCUACCCUGGUUACCACAAAUGCUUUUCUCCAUGCCUUUGCUUUUGAAAGUAUUAGCUACAAGGAUGAGUCUGGGAUCCAAAGUGGACACUGUGGUGAAAAGCAUGGCUACUUCUGGAAAGAACUCAGAUGAAGAGAAGGAGGUCCGUCAGUCAAGUAGAUUACUUGGGAGUUCAGUUUCUAUGGGAUGGAAGCAGGAAAAGACAGAGAAGAGCAGAGGCACUCAAUCACCUCCUUCAGGGAAAGGAGGAUUGUCAGUCUUCAUUUGGUAUCAGAGAUGCCUUUGAACUUCAGGAAAGCCGCCAUUUUGUUUUUGUUCACUUCUCUAAUGCUUUGUGUCUGCAACAUGAAACACAAGAUAUGUUGCCAUGGAGCUGCUGAUGAGUCACUGAGUCAUGGCUUGCUUUGCUCAAGUGACUGUGGUUUUUAUAACACUGAUACUCAAAUCAGACACCCGUGGAUUCUACUUUUAAAAACUUCAAGGCCCAUCCUAACUCAGAGUACCUCAUCACAAAUUGGAUUGCAGAGAACUCAAAUGAAGAGGACAAGCAAACUCAGGAAUGUGGAGCACCCAUCAUCUGCCAUGGUCAAGGAGAUAAUCUGUGGAGAGAGAGAGAAAACAGAUGGAGAGAGCUGCACACGCAGAGAUCCACGAGGCUCCUGAGAAUAAACAAGAAUCUCUUGGCUUCUCAAGAGCCUUCCAGACUUUCCUCCUUAUGUUUGGGAGUUUUCCUGACUGCCCUCCUUGACCUUGGUCAGCAAGGACACUUAUAAACUUGGCGGUGUGGGGUGUGUGUGUGUGUGUGUGUGUGUGUGUAGUGGGGAAGGUCAUGAGAUUUAAGCCAGUUUCUAUUAUUUUUUUUUUGUCUUUUGUCUUUUUAUGGCCACACCCAUGGCAUAUGGAGGUUCCCAGGCUAGGGGUCUAAUUGGAGCUGUAGCUGCUGGCCUACGCCACAGCCACAGCAACACGGGAUCUGAGCUGUGUCUGUGACCUACAGCACAGCUCACAGCAACACUGGAUGCUUAACCCACUGAGCAAGGCCAGGGAUUGAACCCGCAACUUCAUGGUUCCUAGUCGGAUUCAUUAACCAUUGAGCCACAAUGGGAACUCCUGAGUUUCUACUCUUCAUAUACAUAAAGUUCCUAAAGCAUAUUGGUAAUACUUUUCUAUUUUAAUUGAACUUUGGUAUUUACUCUAUCAUUUUCCAAUGGAUGUGGCAUCAACUUAACAUUCUCUAGCCUCUCCUUUCAUUAUUACCUGGCCCCUAAAUAACUUUUGCCCCCACUUCUUGUCCCUCUUCCUCCUUUUGGGGCUCCACCAUCUUUGCCUCUGCUCAGCUAUUUCUUCAACUUCAUCCUUAUUCCUAGAUGUUCUAGGCAAUCUCCUACUCAACUCAAAGCUCAACAAAAUAUCUCUUCCUCUGUAAUGUCUUUCUGAAUAAUUCAGGAAAGAUGAAUCAUUUUGCUGUUUAUAUUCACACAGUAUUUUAUUUGCCUUUAAUAUAUUAUGUUAUCAUUAGUGGUUAAAGUGUUUCCCUCAAGGGUAGAGACUGGGUAUCCCUCUCUAUUACUUAUCUUUUAUCACCAUCAUGUAGGACGGCACCAGGAGGGGAAUAAUAAGUGCUCAGAAAAAAAAAAUAUAUGUUUUGUAUGAAUGGACUCAGGAAAUAUCACAGCAAAUAUGUGUAUGUGAUGUUUUGUGAAUUCUAGAAAUAAAGUAUGUCAUCC